rfam:Folsomia candida strain VT population Fcan01_Sc003, whole genome shotgun sequence.
CCUCAAAUCUUGGCAUGUAUGCACUAUUCCCAUAGUGGUUCAUGAAUAUUUUUAGAGAGGAAAAGGAAAGAGAUUCGGUAUCAUGCCUUCGGUGUCUACUUCAAUUGAUUAAUGAAUAGAUUCCAUCCUCUAGAUACCAAACAAAU